rnacentral:rRNA from 1 species
AAUAAGCAUCGGCUAACUCCGUGCCAGCAGCCGCGGUAAUACGGAGGAUGCGAGCGUUAUCCGGAUUUAUUGGGUUUAAAGGGUGCGUAGGCGGAUUGAUAAGUCAGUGGUGAAAACCUGCAGCUUAACUGUAGACUUGCCGUUGAUACUGUCAGUCUUGAGUGUGGUCAAGGUAGGCGGAAUGUGUAAUGUAGCGGUGAAAUGCUUAGAUAUUACACAGAACACCGAUUGCGAAGGCAGCUUACUGGGCCAUUACUGACGCUGAUGCACGAAAGCGUGGGGAUCGAACAGGAUUAGAUACCCUGGUAGUCCACGCCGUAAACGAUGAUCACUCGCUGUUAGCGAUACACAGUUAGCGGCUAAGCAAAAGCAUUAAGUGAUCCACCUGGGGAGUACGGCCGCAAGGCUGAAACUCAAAGGAAUUGACGGGGGCCCGCACAAGCGGAGGAACAUGUGGUUUAAUUCGAUGAUACGCGAGGAACCUUACCUGGGCUUAAAUGUAGAGUGCAUUCAGCUGAAAGGCUGAUUUCCUUCGGGACUUUCUGCAAGGUGCUGCAUGGUUGUCGUCAGCUCGUGCCGUGAGGUGUCGGGUUAAGUCCCAUAACGAGCGCAACCCUUAUCGUUAGUUGCCAGCGGGUAAUGCCGGGAACUCUAACGAAACUGCCGGUGUAAACCGAGAGGAAGGUGGGGAUGACGUCAAAUCAGCACGGCCCUUAUGUCCAGGGCUACACACGUGUUACAAUGGCCGGUACAGAGGGCAGCUAUGCCGCGAGGCAAUGCGAAUCUCGAAAGCCGGUCUCAGUUCGGAUCGGAGUCUGCAACUCGACUCCGUGAAGCUGGAUUCGCUAGUAAUCGCGCAUCAGCCAUGGCGCGGUGAAUACGUUCCCGGGCCUUGUACACACCGCCCGU